UUAAGCGACUAAGCGUACACGGUGGAUGCCCUGGCAGUCAGAGGCGAUGAAGGGCGUGCUAAUCUGCGAUAAGCGCCGGUAAGGUGAUAUGAACCGUUAUAACCGGCGAUACCCGAAUGGGGAAACCCAGUGUGAUUCGUCACACUAUCAUUAACUGAAUCCAUAGGUUAAUGAGGCGAACCGGGGGAACUGAAACAUCUAAGUACCCCGAGGAAAAGAAAUCAACCGAGAUUCCCCCAGUAGCGGCGAGCGAACGGGGAGGAGCCCAGAGCCUGAAUCAGCAUGUGUGUUAGUGGAAGCGUCUGGAAAGGCGCGCGAUACAGGGUGACAGCCCCGUACACAAAAGCGCAUGUGCUGUGAGCUCGAUGAGUAGGGCGGGACACGUGGUAUCCUGUCUGAAUAUGGGGGGACCAUCCUCCAAGGCUAAAUACUCCUGACUGACCGAUAGUGAACCAGUACCGUGAGGGAAAGGCGAAAAGAACCCCGGCGAGGGGAGUGAAAAAGAACCUGAAACCGUGUACGUACAAGCAGUGGGAGCCCCACCACUAAGCCAGUGGUGAACUCCACAUCCGCAUCCUUUGCUGAGGAUACGGUUAACGGAGCGAAAGCGACGUUCAACCGCAAAACAAGCAGAGGGGGCUUAGUGGUGGGGUGACUGCGUACCUUUUGUAUAAUGGGUCAGCGACUUAUAUUCUGUAGCAAGGUUAACCGAAUAGGGGAGCCGGAGGGAAACCGAGUCUUAAUUGGGCGUUAAGUUGCAGGGUAUAGACCCGAAACCCGGUGAUCUAGCCAUGGGCAGGUUGAAGGUUGGGUAACACUAACUGGAGGACCGAACCGACUAAUGUUGAAAAAUUAGCGGAUGACCUGUGGCUGGGGGUGAAAGGCCAAUCAAACCGGGAGAUAGCUGGUUCUCCCCGAAAGCUAUUUAGGUAGCGCCUCGUGAAUUCAUCUCCGGGGGUAGAGCACUGUUUCGGCUAGGGGGCCAUCCCGGCUUACCAACCCGAUGCAAACUGCGAAUACCGGAGAAUGUUAUCACGGGAGACACACGGCGGGUGCUAACGUCCGUCGUGAAGAGGGAAACAACCCAGACCGCCAGCUAAGGUCCCAAAGUCAUGGUUAAGUGGGAAACGAUGUGGGAAGGCCCAGACAGCCAGGAUGUUGGCUUAGAAGCAGCCAUCAUUUAAAGAAAGCGUAAUAGCUCACUGGUCGAGUCGGCCUGCGCGGAAGAUGUAACGGGGCUAAACCAUGCACCGAAGCUGCGGCAGCGAACGUAUCACUUAAAGCGAUUCAGCGGGUUACGAUUGACGGAGCGAAGCGACGUCAAAGCGUAUACAAAGUCGAGUCGGUUUAAGGAUACGUUCGUUGGGUAGGGGAGCGUUCUGUAAGCCCGUGAAGGUGGCCUGUGAGGGUUGCUGGAGGUAUCAGAAGUGCGAAUGCUGACAUAAGUAACGAUAAAGCGGGUGAAAAGCCCGCUCGCCGGAAGACCAAGGGUUCCUGUCCAACGUUAAUCGGGGCAGGGUGAGUCGACCCCUAAGGCGAGGCCGAAAGGCGUAGUCGAUGGGAAACGGGUUAAUAUUCCCGUACUUGGUGUUACUGCGAAGGGGGGACGGAGAAGGCUAUGUUGGCCGGGCGACGGUUGUCCCGGUUUAAGCGUGUAGGUGUGUGUUCCAGGUAAAUCCGGUUCACUUUAACACUGAGGCGUGACGACGAGGCACUACGGUGCUGAAGCAACAAAUGCCCUGCUUCCAGGAAAAGCCUCUAAGCAUCAGGUAACAUCAAAUCGUACCCCAAACCGACACAGGUGGUCAGGUAGAGAAUACCAAGGCGCUUGAGAGAACUCGGGUGAAGGAACUAGGCAAAAUGGUGCCGUAACUUCGGGAGAAGGCACGCUGACACGUAGGUGAAGUGAUUUACUCAUGGAGCUGAAGUCAGUCGAAGAUACCAGCUGGCUGCAACUGUUUAUUAAAAACACAGCACUGUGCAAACACGAAAGUGGACGUAUACGGUGUGACGCCUGCCCGGUGCCGGAAGGUUAAUUGAUGGGGUCAGCGCAAGCGAAGCUCCUGAUCGAAGCCCCGGUAAACGGCGGCCGUAACUAUAACGGUCCUAAGGUAGCGAAAUUCCUUGUCGGGUAAGUUCCGACCUGCACGAAUGGCGUAAUGAUGGCCAGGCUGUCUCCACCCGAGACUCAGUGAAAUUGAACUCGCUGUGAAGAUGCAGUGUACCCGCGGCAAGACGGAAAGACCCCGUGAACCUUUACUAUAGCUUGACACUGAACAUUGAGCCUUGAUGUGUAGGAUAGGUGGGAGGCUUUGAAGUGUGGACGCCAGUCUGCAUGGAGCCGACCUUGAAAUACCACCCUUUAAUGUUUGAUGUUCUAACGUGGACCCGUAAUCCGGGUUGCGGACAGUGUCUGGUGGGUAGUUUGACUGGGGCGGUCUCCUCCUAAAGAGUAACGGAGGAGCACGAAGGUUGGCUAAUCCUGGUCGGACAUCAGGAGGUUAGUGCAAUGGCAUAAGCCAGCUUGACUGCGAGCGUGACGGCGCGAGCAGGUGCGAAAGCAGGUCAUAGUGAUCCGGUGGUUCUGAAUGGAAGGGCCAUCGCUCAACGGAUAAAAGGUACUCCGGGGAUAACAGGCUGAUACCGCCCAAGAGUUCAUAUCGACGGCGGUGUUUGGCACCUCGAUGUCGGCUCAUCACAUCCUGGGGCUGAAGUAGGUCCCAAGGGUAUGGCUGUUCGCCAUUUAAAGUGGUACGCGAGCUGGGUUUAGAACGUCGUGAGACAGUUCGGUCCCUAUCUGCCGUGGGCGCUGGAGAACUGAGGGGGGCUGCUCCUAGUACGAGAGGACCGGAGUGGACGCAUCACUGGUGUUCGGGUUGUCAUGCCAAUGGCACUGCCCGGUAGCUAAAUGCGGAAGAGAUAAGUGCUGAAAGCAUCUAAGCACGAAACUUGCCCCGAGAUGAGUUCUCCCUGAGACUUAGAGUCUCCUGAAGGAACGUUGAAGACGACGACGUUGAUAGGCCGGGUGUGUAAGCGCAGCGAUGCGUUGAGCUAACCGGUACUAAUGAACCGUGAGGCUUAACCU
rnacentral:rRNA from 1 species